AGUGGAGACAGGUGGUGCAUGGUUGUCGUCAGCUCGUGUCGUGAGAUGUUGGGUUAAGUCCCGCAACGAGCGCAACCCUUACCUUCAGUAGCCAGCACGUAAUGGUGGGCACUCUGGAGGGACUGCCGGGGACAACCCGGAGGAAGGUGGGGACGACGUCAAAUCAUCAUGCCCCUUAUGGCCUGGGCUACACACGUGCUACAAUGGCGUAAACAGAGGGAGGCAGCCCCGCGAGGGUGAGCAAACCCCAAAAAUAACGUCCCAGUUCGGAUUGCAGUCUGCAACUCGACUGCAUGAAGCUGGAAUCGCUAGUAAUCGCGGAUCAGAAUGCCGCGGUGAAUACGUUCCCGGGUCUUGUACACACCGCCCGUCACACCAUGGGAGUUGGUAACGCCCGAAGUCAGUGACCUAACCGAAAGGGAGGAGCUGCCGAAGGUGGGACCAGUGACUGGGGUGAAGUCGUAACAAGGUAGCCGUAUCGGAAGGUGCGGCUGGAUCACCUC
rnacentral:rRNA from 1 species